rnacentral:rRNA from 1 species
AGUGGGGAAUUUUGCGCAAUGGGGGAAACCCUGACGCAGCGACGCCGCGUGGAGGAUGACGGCCUUCGGGUUGUAAACUCCUGUCAGAAGGGACGAAAUCCCGCAAGGGACUGACGGUACCUUCAGAGGAAGCCCCGGCUAACUACGUGCCAGCAGCCGCGGUAAUACGUAGGGGGCAAGCGUUGCUCGGAAUUACUGGGCGUAAAGGGUGAGUAGGCGGUCGAGCAAGUCAAGGAUGAAAUCCCGAGGCCCAACUUCGGAAUUGUUCUUGAAACUGCUCGGCUUGAGGGUAGUUGAGGAGAGUGGAAUUCCCGGUGGAGCGGUGAAAUGCGUAGAUAUCGGGAGGAACACCUGAGGCGAAGGCGGCUCUCUAAACUACUCCUGACGCUGAAUCACGAAAGCUAGGGGAGCAAACGGGAUUAGAUACCCCGGUAGUCCUAGCCGUAAACGAUGGACACUGGAUAUUCCGGCAUUUCUGCUGGAGUGUCGUAGCUAACGCGUUAAGUGUCCCGCCUGGGGAGUACGAUCGCAAGGUUGAAACUCAAAGGAAUUGACCGGGGCCCGCACAAGCGGUGGAGCAUGUGGUUUAAUUCGACGCUACGCGAAGAACCUUACCUGGGCUUGAACUGCUGGUGGUAGAAGCCCGAAAGGGUAACGACCCGGAGCAAUCCGGAAGCCAGUAGAGGUGCUGCAUGGCUGUCGUCAGCUCGUGUCGUGAGAUGUUGGGUUAAGUCCCGCAACGAGCGCAACCCUUACCCUUAGUUGCCAGC